GCUUACGGCCAUACCAGCCUGGGUACGCCCGAUCUCGUCUGAUCUCGGAAGCUAAGCAGGGUCGGGCCUGGUUAGUACUUGGAUGGGAGACCCCUGGGAAUAGCAGGUGCUGUAAGCA
rnacentral:rRNA from 1 species